AAUACCCUCAUCGUAAGCUUCUAUGUUUCACCAAAAACAUUUCUAUCCCUGUUUGGCACUAAUUUCAUUUGCUUCCGUCAAUCUUUACUAGAAAAUAAUGACAUCUGAAAUAACUAAUUCUCAUACAUCGAUCAAGUUCGAUUUGAAGAUUCACAACUUCUCAAAUCUCGGAUGUAAACAUAAAUCUGAUGUUUUCUCUGUGGGUAACAUAAAAUGGAGAGUGAAAGUAUACCCGAAGGGAGACAGUAGAUCAUGGAAUCAUAUGGCCAUAUACCUCAUUCCUGAUGACAAGACCAAAUCGCCAUAUGCGGAGUUCAGUUUCGUCAUUAAGAGUCAAACUAGUAGCAGAAACAACGAGAAAGGCCCAGUAUUACAACACCAAUUCUCGCAAGGAUCAAAGGGCCAUGGUUGGCCGAAAUUCAUAACUCCUGACGACCUCCAUGACCGCUCUUUGGGAUAUCUGAAACACAAUACUUGUAUCAUUCAAGUAAAGGUUAAAUGUCGGACAAGGGAUGCGGCGAGAGGUUAAUCUUUAUUGUUUAUUUCGAUCACGGGUACUUGUUGCUUUGCUACCUACCGUUAUUGGAGCUUCUAUGCAAUUUGAUCAUGAUGAAGUCCGUUUACGCUGUCUCUGUUAAGUACUGGUGUGGUGUUGUUAUUUGGAGUGCCUGCUAUUGGUUUUUCGGGUCUUCUUUGUGUUGUUGAAGUUGUUAAAACGGAGGAUGGAAAAACAAUACAGGAACGACCAGAAUGUUUUAUCACUGGAGCUUCAAGGCCUUGCGGAUUCUUUUCAGCAAUUAUUUCGACCAUUCCCAAAUAAUUGGCGAGUACAAUCAGUCAGCGAAAUAUUGCUUUCAGGAUACAAUGAAGCCCUAACAACGUUGUUGGGUUCAAGAGUUGUACUCCCUUGACCCAUCCAAGAACACACAGUAUUUAGAUUCUGAUGAUGCUUAGAGAGAAAAGAAAUCGGAGAUUUUAUUGCGUUUUUCAUACUUGAAUGGAAAUAAAUCAUCACUACUUAUAGAUGACUCAUGCCUAUUGGAGAUGCCUCUUCAUUAUCAAAAGACACCAAUAGUGUCUAAUGGGAAUGGACGUGUCUCUUGUGAACCAUCACGCCCUUUGGAGAUGCCUUUUCAUCUCCAACAAAAUUCCAUUGCAUCUAUUAGGCGCACGACGCUCCCCAUCGUAGUGGCAAACCAAAAAAUGAAAACCAUUUUAUUUUCUAUACUAUUGAAAAUAUCCAACAUUCAAAAAUAAAAAUUAUAUUUGAUUUGAUUCUUCAAAUCUUCCAGACAAAUCAAGGUUAUUUCUCUUAGUUUUAU